CAUGCAGUUUGUAGGCUGGUUCUGUGUGUGUUCGUUCAGGGCGGCCAGGUUAGCUACACAGCCCUGAUGCUAGCAAAACAAAGUAGAGUUUGGAAAAAAAUUCAACUCUGACCUCAGUACCACCUCCUUUUCUCUCAAUUUCUGACCACGGGUGCUGCAACUUCCGUUUGGAGGCAGAUGCUGGCUUCUGGGAUGACAUCAGCUUGGUGCUUUGAAGUGCUUUGUUUGUCUCUUCUCAUAUGGCUGUUUUUUCCACACAAGUUUCCUAGCUAUGGAGCUUCUUUGCUUUAGUUUCCUUUCCUAUUUUGACCUAAAUCUGUGUCCUUUGUUCUUCACUGGUACUCAGAAACUCAGCAUCCUGCUACUCUGAUGUGAUUCAGGUGUAAAUGUACAGCGUUUGAGAGGAGGAGUGAAGAUCUCUACAGCAAAUGCUCCCAAAAGUGGGAGACAUAUCCAAGUUCCAGCUCCAGGAACCAAUUGAGAAUAAUGGGAACUAGGCCUGUGAAGGGGAAGAAGACCAGUGGGAGGUUGGUGAGCACACUAGAAGAUGGAACCAGUGGACUGGCAGGGGGAGGAGGAGGUGGAACUUUCCACUAAGCUGAGCAAUUUAAAGGCUCCAAGCUUGGAACGUCUCCUUGGCUUUGUGACUGAGGAAAAUGACUCCUCAGGCAGCCUUUUCAAGUGUCCAUUCUGCCUUCCCCCUGAGAUUUAUGAAAGGCUCUGGCUGCCUGGUGCUUCCUUCUCUCCUUCACACCACUGUUAUGCACUUACUCUUUUUUGUGCUUCUUUGCUGUCCUUACCUCGAAAUAUUCUGUCUGCCGUGUUGAAAUGGAAGCUUACCACAUAUUAAUGGUUACUUAGUGUUCUAUUAUAUAGAUGGACUGUAAUUUGCAUAAAUAAACUCCUAUGUCUGGGUA